UUUUUCCUUGUAUUUUUAUAAAAUUUUUGUCAUAUUUAUAAGGUCUAAGGUAUUAGGCAUGGUUAUUUGGUAUUUAGAAUGUAUAAUGUGUUCGUGGCUAAGCCAUAGGCUUAGAUAAAUAAAAAUGCCUUUCUUGUA